CUUGAAUAAGCCUCAGCAGAAGACACUCAUGCUUUCGAGAAGGAAACCUGCCAUCCUUACCUGGUCUGGCCGACAUGUGAUUCCAGACCCACAGCAACGUGGUUGACUAUGAAUUCUGGACAUGUAGCUGUGGAGAUCAAAACCGGAAAUGACAAUGCUUACUAUAACAGACUGGACAGUAUAAAUUCCAAGUGGAGUGGAAUAACAUCGCUUCAUCAGAGUCUCCACAGAUGAUGUCACGUAACAUUUGAA